AAAUUUAGUGUUUAGGAAUUAAGGUUUAGUGUUUUGAUUUAUAGUUUAGGAUUUCUCCAAGGAUUUAUGAUUUACCUAAGGGUUUAGAAUUUAAGGUUUAGAGUUUAGUAUUUUGCUGACGAUGUUAAAAAUAUUUUUUUUUGUAAAUUCUGUUUUUUGUAAUUACUUUUAUUUUUCAAUUUUUAUCUUUUUUAUUUUAAAAACAUAAUAUAACUUGACAAUAUUUUAUUUUAUUUUAUUUUUCUAAAAAUAUCGAAAAUGAAAUAACGACAUUGGUAGGGGUAGACCCAAGAAUAAUCUUUAUUAAAACCAAAGAAUGACACACAAGAAGGUGUUAUUAAAU
rnacentral:lncRNA from 1 species